AUACGUAGGGAGCGAGCGUUAAUCGGAUUUACUGGGCGUAAAGCGCGCGUAGGUGGCUAAUUAAGUCAAAUGUGAAAUCCCCGAGCUUAACUUGGGCAUUGCAUUCGAUACUGGUUAGCUAGAGUAUGGGAGAGGAUGGUAGAAUUCCAGGUGUAGCGGUGAAAUGCGUAGAGAUCUGGAGGAAUAUCGAUGGCGAAGGCGGGCAUCGGGCCUAAAAAUGACUGUGGGGUGCGAAAGCAUGGGGAGAAAAAGGGGUUAGGUUCCCUGGUAGUCCAUGCCGUAAACGGCGUCUACUAUCCGUUGGGGCGUUUGAGGCUUUAGUGGCGCAGCUAAAGCGAUAAGUGGACCGCCUGGGGAGUACGGUCGCACGACGAAAACUCAAAUGAAUUGGCGGGG
rnacentral:rRNA from 1 species